rnacentral:rRNA from 1 species
UACGAAGGGGGCAAGCGUUGUUCGGAAUUACUGGGCGUAAAGGGAGUGUAGGCGGUUUAGUAAGAUAGUGGUGAAAUCCCAGAGCUUAACUUUGGAAUUGCCAUUAUAACUAUUAGACUAGAAUUACAGAGAGGAUAGUGGAAUACCCAGUGUAGAGGUGAAAUUCGUAGAUAUUGGGUAGAACACCAGUGGCGAAGGCGACUAUCUGGCUGUACAUUGACGCUGAGGCUCGAAAGCAUGGGGAUCAAACAGG